UUGACAAAAGAAGGGGUACAAUGUAGAAACCAGCAAGGAAUCAGAUUUGCACCUUUCAGAUCUACUGAUAGAAAAUGUAACACUGAAAGAUAAUGGAACAUAUGAGUGUAAAGCCUCAAACACCAUUGGUAAUGGUGACCAGAGUGGAACACCUGUUCUGCUUGUUCAAGAUUCCCCAGAGGUAAAUCUGACAAAGGUGCGUGCUGUUGGCCCUAAAGAAAUUCAAGCA